rnacentral:rRNA from 1 species
CCUACGGGAGGCAGCAGUGGGGAAUCUUGCGCAAUGCGCGAAAGCGUGACGCAGCAACGCCGCGUGGGGGAAGAAGGCCUUCGGGUUGUAAACCCCUUUCAGGAGGGACGAAGGUGUGGCGGCGAAUAGUCGUCCACACUGACGGUACCUCCACAAGAAGCCCCGGCUAACUACGUGCCAGCAGCCGCGGUAAUACGUAGGGGGCUAGCGUUGUCCGGAAUCAUUGGGCGUAAAGCGCGCGUAGGCGGCCCGGUAAGUCCGCUGUGAAAGUCCAGGGCUCAACCCUGGAAAGCCAGUGGAUACUGUCGGGCUAGAGUCCGGAAGAGGCGAGUGGAAUUCCUGGUGUAGCGGUGGAAUGCGCAGAUAUCAGGAGGAACACCAACGGCGAAGGCAGCUCGCUGGGACGGUACUGACGCUAAGGCGCGAAAGCGUGGGGAGCAAACAGGAUUAGAUACCCUGGUAGUCCACGCUGUAAACGAUGGGCACUAGGUNUGGGAGGUGUCGACUCCUCCCGUGCCGGCGCUAACGCAUUAAGUGCCCCGCCGNGGAGGUACGGCCGCGAGACGUAAACUACGAACGAAGUAGACGGCGUGAGACGUGCCGACGGACGACGACGAGGGAGGUAGG